rnacentral:rRNA from 1 species
CCUGCCCUGUGACAAUGUUUAACGGCCGCGGUAUUUUGACCGUGCGAAGGUAGCGUAAUCACUUGUCUUUUAAAUGAAGACCUGUAUGAAAGGCAUCACGAGAGUUUAACUGUCUCUAUUUCCUAAUCAAUGAAAUUGAUCUUCUCGUGCAGAAGCGAGAAUAUUACCAUUAGACGAGAAGACCCUAUGGAGCUUCAAACACUUAAAUUAAUUAUGUAAAAUUAUAAUCCUUAGGGAAAAAUCAUUCAUAUAAUAUUCCUAAUUUAACUGUUUUUGGUUGGGGUGACCGGGGGGGAAAGAAAAUCCCCCUCAUCGACUGAGUACUAAGUACUUAAAAAUUAGAACGACAGUUCUGAUUAAUAAAACAUUUACCGAAAAAUGACCCAGAUUUUUCUGAUCAAUGAACCAAGUUACCCUAGGGAUAACAGCGCAAUCCUUUCCCAGAGUCCCUAUCGCCGAAAGGGUUUACGACCUCGAUGUUGGAUCAGGACAUCCUAAU